UACGAAGGGGGCUAGCGUUGCUCGGAAUGACUGGGCGUAAAGGGCGCGUAGGCGGAUGGCACAGUCAGAUGUGAAAUUCCUGGGCUUAACCUGGGGGCUGCAUUUGAUACGUGUGAUCUGGAGUGAGGAAGAGGGUUGUGGAAUUCCCAGUGUAGAGGUGAAAUUCGUAGAUAUUGGGAAGAACACCGGUGGCGAAGGCGGCGACCUGGUCCUUAACUGACGCCGAGGCGCGAAAGCGUGGGGAGCAAACAGG
rnacentral:rRNA from 1 species